UGCAGGAUAAACUAUAGUUUCACGAUAAAGAAAUGCUGCUGUUUGUUUUUGCUCUGAUUAUCUCUGCCUGAUAAUAUUCUUUGUUGUUGUUUUAUUUUAUAUUUUUAUGUGUAGGAUUUAAACCAAUCUAAUACAAACAAGCACAGGACAUUUUGCUUGUAUGGUCAUAUUGUCCAAUGCAAAGUUUUGAUUGAUUUUGGAUCAAAUUCAAUUGACCUGUUUGUUGUCCUUCUCCUAAUGUUCCCCUUAGAGAAGAUAUUUAUUCAUCCUUAUUUCCCAAAGCAUCUCUCUGUUGGGUUUCCAACCAUAAAGCUAAUUCUUUCAUAGCGAGUUCACAUUGUGGAGUCAAUGCUCAGCAUUUCCACUUAUUUGUAAAGUAAACGAUAAACUGAGGAGCAACUCAGACUGAAGACGGGUAUUUAACUCCCGACCCGUUACUGUGAUGAUGGACUCACUGGCUCAGAUCUGCAUCUUGACUUUUAGCUUAACCUCUGCCUGCUGAAGUUAAACCAGUUUAUCCUAAUUAGCACACAAAGCUAACGUCGCUCUGGUUCUUCACCACAACGGUAGAAAUGUUGAAACCGACAUGUCAGAUCUCUCAUCAUGUUUUCUUUGUUGCUAAAUACCUGAUAAAGGCUUUCUGGUGGGCAGAGCAGCAUGUCGAUGUAUGGGCUGGAGGUUUGAACAGAUGAUGAUGAUGAUGAUGAUGAUGAUGAUGCUCCCAGUCACUUUCAGCCACUCACCAAAUCCUGCUUCUUCUUGAUCAUUCUUGACAUGCUGGUUUCAGAUUGUGGAGUCAAAUGACAGUUUCCACUGUCUCCACCCAACUGCUGUGCGCCUUACAGAGAAUCAAGCGCCCCAUCCAGUCGCUGUCAGACCAGAUCUCUAGGUUGCACUGCUGGUGAGAUUCACUUCAAAAGAAAAGAUGAAACAACGUGAAGCUGAAGUGGCUUUGGAGUAAAAAACCUGACGGAUCAUUAAGCUAAUUAUAACAGACUGGAGUUUGACCGUCCUCCAUUUUGGUGAAGGUGUGAAACUUCUGAGAGAGACUCUCCAUCCAUCGUCUACAGCCACCGAUCCUCUUCAGUCGAUCUGGUUCGGUUUGUGGGAGGAAGCCAGAUACCCAGAGAGAAGCCAUGACAGGACGGUCUGCAGAAAGACCGCAGGCUGGGAUCCGAACUCAGGACCUUCCAGUCUGUAAGGCAACAAUGCAACCCAACAAAAACAAAUAUUUCAUGUAAUUAUACAAACAGAAAAGCAGCAGCAUCAACCCCACAAUGUGCUUCAGGAAUUUUCAGUUGUCUAAGGAUGAAGAGGUAGAAUCCACCUUCCAGUCGAAUCCCAUUCAUCAUAAAUCCUAAUGAGGUCUGAACCGAGUCAGGCUGUUUGUUUAUCAGCUGUUUGCAGGCCUCCUUCUCCGGCUCGGUUUUCUGUGUGUAUGAAACGGCGGCCGUGCUUCCCACUGCGCCUCGCUGCUCUGUCACUACCUUCCUCAUUCACAUAGAUUAUUUUUCACUUUCAUACCUCAGAGUGAGCAGCCAGAUCUAAUAAUACCAUGGCCAAUUGAUGCCGGGGAAAUGUACCACUUCAUUGGGGAGAGGAAAAAACACACAAGAGUUAAAAAUACAAACCAUGUUCUCCAUCAGCAAAUGUCAGCAGUGGAACCUUCAUGCAUGAAACAGCAUUUGCUGCUUUAAAAGCCUGACAGUUUUCUGUCAUAUGGGAAGAUGGCAGAUGAGAACGUUCAUGAGAAAACAUGAAAACAUGCAUGAUGACUGGCAACCGUCUGCAGAAAUGAACAGAGGAAUAUGAGGAGUGCUCUGUUAGAGUAAAGGCCACCAUUUCAUCUGUCCGCUUUUUAAUUAGAAUUAAAUGUUUGCUUGACAUUAAA